CCUACGGGUGGCAGCAGUAGGGAAUCUUCCACAAUGGGCGAAAGCCUGAUGGAGCAACGCCGCGUGGGUGAAGAAGGUCUUCGGAUCGUAAAACCCUGUUGUUAGAGAAGAAAGUGCGUGAGAGUAACUGUUCACGUUUCGACGGUAUCUAACCAGCAAGCCACGGCUAACUACGUGCCAGCAGCCGCGGUAAUACGUAGGUGGCAAGCGUUAUCCGGAUUUAUUGGGCGUAAAGGGAACGCAGGCGGUCUUUUAAGUCUGAUGUUAAAGCCUUCGGCUUAACCGGAGUAGUGCAUUGGAAACUGGGAGACGUGAGUGCAGGAGAGGAGAGUGGAACUCGAGGUGUAGCGGUGAAAUGCGUAGAUAUAUGGAAGAACACCAGUGGCGAAGGCGGCUCUCUGGUCUGUAACUGACGCUGAGGUUCGAAAGCGUGGGUAGCAAACAGGAUUAGAUACCCGGGUAGUC
rnacentral:rRNA from 1 species